rnacentral:rRNA from 1 species
AUGUUGGGUUAAGUCCCGCAACGAGAACAACACUUGAUCUUAGUUGCCAGCAUUCAGUUGGGCACUCUAAGGUGACUGCCGGUGACAAACCGGAGGAAGGUGGGGAUGACGUCAAAUCAUCAUGCCCCUUAUGACCUGGGCUACACACGUGCUACAAUGGGCAGAACAAAGGGCAGCGAAGCCGCGAGGCUAAGCCAAUCCCACAAAUCUGUUCUCAGUUCGGAUCGCAGU